GAUGAACGCUGGCGGCGUGCCUAAUACAUGCAAGUCGAGCGAACGGACGAGAAGCUUGCUUUUCUGAUGUUAGCGGCGGACGGGUGAGUAACACGUGGAUAACCUACCUAUAAGACUGGGAUAACUUCGGGAAACCGGAGCUACUACCGGAUAAUAUUUUGAACCGCAUGGUUCAAAAGUGAAAGACGGUCUUGCUGUCACUUAUAGAUGGAUCCGCGCUGCAUUAGCUAGUUGGUAAGGUAACGGCUUACCAAGGCAACGAUGCAUAGCCGACCUGAGAGGGUGAUCAGCCACACUGGAACUGAGACACGGUCCAGACUCCUACGGGAGGCAGCAGUAGGGAAUCUUCCGCAAAGGGCGAAAGCCUGACGGAGCAACGCCGCGUGAGUGAUGAAGGUCUUCGGAUCGUAAAACUCUGUUAUUAGGGAAGAACAUAUGUGUAAGUAACUGUGCACAUCUUGACGGUACCUAAUCAGAAAGCCACGGCUAACUACGUG
rnacentral:rRNA from 1 species